rnacentral:rRNA from 1 species
GACGAACGCUGGCGGCGUGCCUAAUACAUGCAAGUCGAACGCUUUUUCUUUCACCGGAGCUUGCUCCACCGAAAGAAAAAGAGUGGCGAACGGGUGAGUAACACGUGGGUAACCUGCCCAUCAGAAGGGGAUAACACUUGGAAACAGGUGCUAAUACCGUAUAACACUAUUUUCCGCAUGGAAGAAAGUUGAAAGGCGCUUUUGCGUCACUGAUGGAUGGACCCGCGGUGCAUUAGCUAGUUGGUGAGGUAACGGCUCACAAAGGCAACGAUGCAUAGCCGACCUGAGAGGGUGAUCGGCCACACUGGGACUGAGACACGGCCCAGACUCCUACGGGAGGCAGCAGUAGGGAAUCUUCGGCAAUGGACGAAGUCUGACCGAGCAACGCCGCGUGAGUGAAGAAGGUUUUCGGAUCGUAAAACUCUGUUGUUAGAGAAGAACAAGGAUGAGAGUAGAACGUUCAUCCCUUGACGGUAUCUAACCAGAAAGCCACGGCUAACUACGUGCCAGCAGCCGCCGUAA